rnacentral:rRNA from 1 species
CAAACGACUCUCGGCAACGGAUAUCUCGGCUCACGCAUCGAUGAAGAACGUAGCAAAAUGCGAUACUUGGUGUGAAUUGCAGAAUCCCGUGAACCAUCGAGUUUUUGAACGCAAGUUGCGCCCGAAGCCUUUUGGCCAAGGGCACGUCUGCCUGGGUGUCACAW